UACGUAGGGUGCAAGCGUUAAUCGGAAUUACUGGGCGUAAAGCGUGCGCAGGCGGUGAUGUAAGACAGAUGUGAAAUCCCCGGGCUCAACCUGGGAACUGCAUUUGUGACUGCAUCGCUGGAGUGCGGCAGAGGGGGAUGGAAUUCCGCGUGUAGCAGUGAAAUGCGUAGAUAUGCGGAGGAACACCGAUGGCGAAGGCAAUCCCCCGGGCCUGCACUGACGCUCAUGCACGAAAGCGUGGGGAGCAAACAGG
rnacentral:rRNA from 1 species